CAGACUGUAGGAGGAAGUCUCCGGAAGCCUGCAGAGGAAACAUCCUCUCUCUCCCCCAUUCGCUAUCGAAAGAGCAGGAAAACCAAUCUUCAGAGACACUGAAUGAAAGAAUUAUAAAACAGAGAAAAAAAAGACUCUGGGUCCAACUGGUCAACCAGACUGCUCAAAAUUCUUCUGCUCCCAUUUUAAGAUCCAACUUUCAAAUAGCACGUGUUGUACACCUCAUGUCUCAGGAUGAGUGAAGGGAUGCAUACUGGGACAGUGGAGAAUUCAAAAUGGCGAUUCCCCUACAUCCACACAAGCUAUUCACAUUU